AUGCUUGCCAGCAGAAUCUUUUGCCUCGGAACGUUCUCUGGAAUCAUUAUCUGCCAUAAGCCUGCUAUUAAUAUCUGAUUCCUUCUUACUAUCUACUGUAUGCAGCAAGUUGUCUGCAAUUUCAGACUGAAGAGCCACAGAGAUCUUCUCCAUAUCAAAGUUGUUGCUGGAUGGGCACUUUAUGUGAGACGGCUUUUGUGGUAUACCACUACUUGCACUGGUUGCAGAAACAGAUUCCCUUCUACAAGUAUCCAAUUUCUUCUCCUCUGGAAUAUCACGAGGUACCACACUGGGGACGACAAAUGAUUUACCUACUGGCAAUCCAUUAAUUUUUGCAGGUAAACCUACAACAGAAUUAAGCUUCUGACUCAACUGAUUCUUGUUUUCCUUAGAAUUUAAAGGAGGAACCACUUUUGGAGAAGGAGAAGUAACUUUCUUAAUGGUUACAGGAUUUUCACAGUCCACAUAUAUAUUCUUUAUUUCCUUGGAAUCAAUA
rnacentral:misc_RNA from 1 species